GACGAACGCUGGCGGCGCGCUUAAUACAUGCAAGUCGAGCGAGAACCAGGCCUUCGGGCCUGGGAAAGCGGCGAACGGGUGAGUAACACGUGGGUAAUCUGCCCUCGGCACUGGGAUAGCCCCGGGAAACCCGGAUUAAUACCGGAUAGCCUUUCGAGCCUUCGGGCUCGUCAGAAAAGGUGGCUUCGGCUUCCGGCUGAGGAUGAGCCCGCGGCGGAUUAGCUUGUUGGUGAGGUAAUGGCUCACCAAGGCUCCGAUCCGUAGCUGGUCUGAGAGGACGAUCAGCCACACUGGGACUGAGACACGGCCCAGACUCCUACGGGAGGCAGCAGUAGGGAAUCUUGCGCAAUGGGCGAAAGCCUGAUCCAGCCAUGCCGCGUGUGUGAAGAAGGCCUUCGGGUUGUAAAGCACUUUAAGCGAGGAGGAAUGGCUCUUGGUUAAUAACCUUGAGCAGUGACGUUACUCGCAGAAUAAGCACCGGCUAACUCUGUGCCAGCCGCCGCCGUAAAAC
rnacentral:rRNA from 1 species